rnacentral:tRNA from 1 species
GGAGAGGUGGCCGAGUCGGUCGAAGGCGCUCGCCUGCUAAGCGAGUGUACGGGCAAAACCUGUACCGAGGGUUCGAAUCCCUCCCUCUCCG